AUGGUAGAUGUUGUGGGGUCAGGUGAAAGGUAGUUGUUGUAGGAGGCCUGGUGAUGGUAGGAAAUGUUGUAGGGUCAGGUGAAGGUAGAUGUUGUAGGGUCAGGUGUUGGUAGAUGUUGUAGGAUCAAGUGAUGGUAGAUGUUGUAGGGUCAGGUGAUGGUAGAUAUU